UUCCACUGUAAAAUAUCAUUGUAGGGCCCAAAUUUUGUGGAGCCCAAACCAAAUGAAAAACAAUUAAAUAGUCCAUUACAAUGGCCCAAUAUAGCCCAAAACCCUUAACCCAAACCAAGCCCAAAAAUUAAACAAAGUUAGAAAAAAAACCUAGGGUUCCCUAACCCUUUUUGCGCCGCAUGCCUCCUGCGCCUCUGCCUGCACUCUGCCACAACUCCGUACAUGCGCACCCUCGCACCUGCAACGACCUGCAGCAACCACGCACAAA
rnacentral:lncRNA from 1 species